CCUACGGGUGGCAGCAGUGGGGAAUAUUGGACAAUGGGCGAAAGCCUGAUCCAGCCAUGCCGCGUGUGUGAAGAAGGCCUUCGGGUUGUAAAGCACUUUCAGUGGGGAAGAAAGCCUUGGGGCUAAUACCCUCGAGGAAGGACAUCACCCACAGAAGAAGCACCGGCUAACUCCGUGCCAGCAGCCGCGGUAAUACGGAGGGUGCGAGCGUUAAUCGGAAUUACUGGGCGUAAAGCGCGCGUAGGCGGUCUGAUAAGCCGGUUGUGAAAGCCCCGGGCUCAACCUGGGAACGGCAUCCGGAACUGUCAGGCUAGAGUGCAGGAGAGGAAGGUAGAAUUCCCGGUGUAGCGGUGAAAUGCGUAGAGAUCGGGAGGAAUACCAGUGGCGAAGGCGGCCUUCUGGACUGACACUGACGCUGAGGUGCGAAAGCGUGGGUAGCAAACAGGAUUAGAUACCCGCAGUAGUC
rnacentral:rRNA from 1 species